rnacentral:tRNA from 1 species
GUGGGUACAGCUCAGUGGUAGAGCUCAUGCUUAGCAUUCACAAGGUCCUGGGUUCAAUCCCCAGUACCUCCA